rnacentral:rRNA from 1 species
AAACUUAAAGGAAUUGACGGGGACCCGCACAAGCGGUGGAUGAUGUGGUUUAAUUCGAUGCAACGCGAAUAACCUUACCCACCUUUGACAUGGCAGGAAUCCCGAAGAGAUUUGGGAGUGCUCGAAAGAGAACCUGCACACAGGUGCUGCAUGGCUGUCGUCAGCUCGUGUCGUGAGAUGUUGGGUUAAGUCCCGCAACGAGCGCAACCCUUGCCAUUAGUUGCUACGAAAGGGCACUCUAAUGGGACUGCCGGUGACAAACCGGAGGAAGGUGGGGAUGACGUCAAGUCCUCAUGGCCCUUAUAGGUGGGGCUACACACGUCAUACAAUGGCCGGUACAGAGGGUAGCCAACCCGCGAGGGGGAGCCAAUCCCACAAAGCCGGUCGUAGUCCGGAUCGCAGUCUGCAACUCGACUGCGUGAAGUCGGAAUCGCUAGUAAUCGCGGAUCAGCAUGUCGCGGUGAAUACGUUCCCGGGUCUU